GCCCUGCUGGCGCAAUGGUAGCGCGUCAGACUUCUAUGGGACUCCGGUCCUCUAGAAUACAUCUGAAGGUUGCGGGUUCGACCCCCGCGUGGGGUU